rnacentral:lncRNA from 1 species
CCCUCUGCCCAAGCACUGCACCAGCCAAUAACUCAAUGGACUGAUGAGUCUUUGCUAACCCAGCAACUACAUCAGCCAUGCCCACAGCUUGCCUAGUUGCGGAGCGGGCUCCCCAUGGGCCUCUACACGGGGUCCUCCACCACGUCCACGACGACCACGUCCUCUCUGAAUAAAAGGUACAUGACCUCUCCAACCACGACCCCUAAGGCUUUGCGGUACAGUACUCUCAUCACUUGAUUCAGCAAGAG